UGUACUUAAAGGGAGUACAUUGUUGAGAAGGACCGGUUGCAAAUUUCCAAAAAGGAGAGUAAAAUAAUUAAUGAGUCAAGGUCUCAGGAGAGACAGAAGGAUGACUUACAACUUCUCAAGUGUCUCCCUUUGUGGGAGGAAUCCCAGCUAUAGCCUAGUGGACCAUUCACCCAGGGAUCUUCAAUCAUUCAUUCAACCCUAACAUUUAUAUGCGCACCGGCUACAUGCUAGGCAGUGCGUCAGGCAUUAAAGAUACAGGGACGAAUACAGCAGACACGACCUCAGUCUUUGGAGAGUUUACCUUCUAUUGAGGAAGAUAGAUGAUAAACAAGUAAUAAAUACAUAAACAAAGUAAUUUCAGCUAGUUAUAAAUGCUAUGAAAAAAUAAUAGUGUUAUAUAAUAAAGAGUGACUGGGGAAUCUAUUUCACAUGGAGUGUUAAGUGAAGGACUUUUUGAAGAAGCGACAUUUGAGCUGUUACCUGUAUGAUACGAGACCAACAAUGUAACAAGCUGAGGGGAGAGCAUUCCAGGCAAAGGGAAAAGCAAAAACACAGCCUUGGGGUGGAAUGGAGUUUUAUUCUGUUUGCAGACCAGUAAGAAGGUCAUGUGGCUGGAGCUGAGUAAGCAAGGGGAAUAAUGGUGGGAGAAAUUACGCGGAGGAGGUAGCCAGGGGCUAGAUCAUGUAUAUAUUGCCAUGCAGGCCAUGGUAAGGACUUUGGAUUGUAUUCUGAGUACCAUGGGAAGCCACUGAAAAACCUUUGCCUAAGAUAAUGGGUUUCUGUUUUGCCUAAAGCAAAUUAACUUUUUACUGAAGUAUAGUAUACAUUACGGAAAAAGUACACAAAUCGUAAGCUUGAUGAAUUUUCAUGAUGUAAUCGCAUCCAUAUCACUAGCACCCAGGUCAAUAAACAGAUCAUUACCAGAACCCCAGAACCCUCCCUUAUGCCCCUUUCCAGUAACGCCCAUCCCCCAACCCACGGGUAACUACCAUCCUGACUUCUAUCACCAAAGAUUAGUUUUGCCUGUUUAUAUAAAACUUUAUAUAAUUGCAGUCACAAUAUGUAUUCAUUUGUGUCUGGCUUCUUUCAUUUACUAUUAUGUUUAGGAGUUUCAUCAUUGCUUAGCAAUAGUUUAUUGGUGCUAUAUGGAAGUUGAUUGCUUGAUCACACCACAGUUUAUCCAUUCUACUGUUGAUGGACAUAUGAGUAAUUGCCGGUUGGGACUACUACAAACAGUGCUGUUAUGAACAUUCUAUUACAUGUCUUUUGGUGAACAAAUAUAUUCACUCCUGUUUGAAAUAAACUUAAGAAUGGAACUUAUGGAUCAUAA
rnacentral:antisense_RNA from 1 species